CACGGGAGAUGAGGCAGAGGACGUCUGUUUGGACGCCCCCAAAGUUUACGAACUGGUGCCCAGUUUUGAGUUCCUCCGAGAGAAGCUGAUUAUCAAUCAGAGCCAGUACAAUGAGAAUGUUAGAGGGGCCAGUCUGGACCUUGUGUUCUUUACAGAUGCCAUGACUCAUCUCAUCAAGAUCUCACGUAUCAUCCGGACAGACU